CUCCAGACUCCUACGGGAGGCAGCAGUGGGGAAUAUUGCACAAUGGGGGAAACCCUGAUGCAGCGACGCCGCGUGAGUGAGGAAGUAUUUCGGUAUGUAAAGCUCUAUCAGCAGGGAAGAAAAUGACGGUACCUGACUAAGAAGCCCCGGCUAACUACGUGCCAGCAGCCGCGGUAAUACGUAGAGGGCAAGCGUUAUCCGGAUUUACUGGGUGUAAAGGGAGCGUAGACGGAAUAGCAAGUCUGAUGUGAAAACCCGGGGCGCAACUCCGGGAGUGCAUUGGAAACUGUUGAUCUAGAGUGUCGGAGAGGGAAGCGGAAUUCCUAGUGUAGCGGUGAAAUGCGUAGAUAUUAGGAGGAACACCAGUGGCGAAGGCGGACUGAUGGACAGCAACUGACGCUGAGGCGCGAAAGCGUGGGGAGCAAACAGGAUUAGAUACCCCCGUAAAA
rnacentral:rRNA from 1 species